rnacentral:lncRNA from 1 species
CCACCCGGAGGGCGUCCUCCACCUCCAUCGGCGGGUGCCGACCGGACACAGCAACCAGGACACACCAGGCCAAGAAGGCCCGGCCGAGCGCCGGCCAAGUCCCGGGGCUCGUAAAGUCCCCGCUCUCGUGCUGCUGCACGUAGGCCGCCACCGCCGCUACCCUCAUGCAGCCCAAAAGCUCAGCCGGGCAUGGACAAGCUCGUGAAGCUCCCAUCAUCACGCUGCAGCGGUGCGAUGUCAACGUUGUCAUCCCCGCCGCGAGCCGCGCCCCAAACCAACCAGAGGCGACGAGGCGGGCCCG